GGGGAGAAACAAGUACGGACUAAACUCCCAUCACUUACAGUAUCAUCUUGUUCAUUCUAUCUGGAUACCUGCUUUAUUAGAAAGUUCUCUAAUUGAUUCCUUGAAACAUGGGACUUAAUGCUAAUAAUGCAAAGGAAUCAAAUUGCCUCGAACAGUGCUUGGGAAAGAUGGUCUCAGCUCUGAUUCACUCACAGGCUUUUUCUAUCUUACAUUAGUCAUGAAUCAAGCCAGAAAUCAAGCUUUCAGCAUCAGUCCAUGGGAGUAAUUACUCACAGUUGUGCGUUGUGUUUAACUUUCAGCCGUGCUAAAAGUUAGGAUGGCCACAGUCCUAGAGCCCACCUUUUGCAUCCCCCUGGAUGGUAACUGGCUCAAGAAUCCCAAAGUAGCUAACUUUCCUUGGGAACAGCCACCGCGGCUGAGACAGGGCAGCGUUGGUGACUUCAGAGGAAAGGAACAUUGCAGGCAGAAUAUCCGCUUUAUUAAUAUGUGAGCAAAUAAAUACCGUAAGAGGGGCCUCAUUGUGUACGAAAUGAAUUAUUCCCUUUCAGCCUGACAAGGGUUUCAGGGAAAAUAAUAAAAGCUACGAAAACAAACGUAUAAAGACACUAGGAACACAAUAGGCCAGAAAACUGAAACUACAGUCACAACUUUCUAACACACACACACACACACACACACACACUAUAGUAAACAGGCAAGCCAGCACCAAGAGAUAUCAGCUUAAUGAAAAGGAUCUGAUUUAAAUAAUGUGAUGCAGCAUUAUGUUCAGUACACCUGGAUCCUCAUUGAUCACAAAAUAAUUAUAAUCAAAGUAGUGCAAUUCUGAGCAAUGCACUUUUUGUAAUGAGCUUACCAAAGGAGACAUGUCCAGUCAUUCUGGUAAUUUAAAUUACUGCCUAGUUGGUUGAUGGCCUUUACCGGAACAACAAGGGGGAAAAAAAGUAAUUUUCAGGGCAGUAUCACUUCUUGCUGGACUGUUGCCCAGGCUUCUCUUUUGGGACACAAUAAGGACAUUAUCUCUAAUAAUCUAGCUACACUUAAACUUAUGUAGCCAGAGCUGGACAGAGCAGGCUUACUCUUCCUGAGUCUAGAAGGCCAGGGUGCACCCCAAAGCUGUCAGACUGCAAAGCAGUCUAAGUUUGAAAAAAAAUAACCGAGUGUAAUGUAGAAACGGACCCGGGUAAGAGAGAGAAAUUGUUUUCAAAAGAGGUAGAGUUGUAAAAAGAUCGCCUCGCUGACGAGGCAGGUUCUAACUAUGCAUGGUACUGAAAUUAUUUUAAUUAUUUUGCUCUAAGAGAAACAAUUGGGAAACACAGGAAUCAGAGCUCUGUAAAUGAUAUUUCCGCAUGCGAUUUGAAGCAAUCUACACACGGCUCACGGAAGCAAUUCUGCGCUCGGAAGGGAAGAUAACUGUGGAUAUUUCAAAGCACAUGCACUGCCACUCGGGCUGGAACUGGGCCACGAUGGAGGAUGAGCUCGGUGGUCCAGCCUGUUCAGACACAAACACCCACUUUGCCCAGAUUUGUAACUAACUUUGGAUUUGUUCUGAGGGCGGCUUCGCAAAGUUUAGCAAAGUGCUCCACCGAACUUCUCCCUGAUGUUUGGCACGAGUGGAAACAUGAAGGAACCGUGGUGGAGGGUCCGCCGAAGACCAGCCCUAGCCGAUGCCGCCCGGAGAACGAGGGCGAAGGCAGAGGGGGGAAGAAAAACAACUUAAGCUUUUUGCUAAAGCCCUGAUUCAACUAAAGGACACAAAGAAAUAAAAACGCCCACAUUAAAAGCCAAACAAGAUAAUAAUUGUGCGCGUCUGGCUCCGAAUCCAGAGGGCAAGGCUUGCGUCACUGGCACUCUGCGUUGCCAUGCUAUUUUGUGAAAUCUUGAAGGUGGCCAUCUCAGGUUAUAUCCCCCCCAUGGUACCUGGUACACCAUCCUGCUGGUGGGAAGAGCCAGAAGAGAGGAAAUCCCAGACUGAUCGUGGAGACUAAUAGGGAGAAAAUAAGUUGGUGCCAGUGUUUUGCCGCUGCUGAAGGAUCCAGACCAAGUCGCUGGCCCAGUAAUCCAUUGCUCAAGUUCAUUAACCACAGGAAGACAUUAAGUGAAUGUAAGGACUGGAGCAGCCUGGAAACCAUGUGACGAGCAGCCUUUAAGUUCUGGGCUCCGGUAUAUUUUAUGCCACCUUGACUGUGCGUCAAGCUCGCCUUCCCGGACUCAUUAGAACUGUGCGCCCAAAGGUGCCCCUCAACUUUCAGAAGCAAAUAGAGGAUGAUAUAAUUCGCUCUGA